UGUCGGCGGCCUGGCGACGAACCGGGCGGCUGCGGCGACUGCCGAGCAGGGUCUCCCGGCGUCCGCUCGCUCCCGCGCUGCGGGUGCCGAGGGGCACGGGGUCGCGCUGUGACGUACGGGAGGCGCGGCGGGGGCGCCAGAUGGCUGAGAGCUAGCAAGGAAAAUUCAGGACCAUGAUGGCUCAGUUUCCCACAACUAUGAAUGAGCAAAAAAGAUCAGUGCGUCAUAUUUUUACCACUCGUGACUCUAAUUCUGGUGUCUUCUGCACCAGCAGAAUCAUCCUUGCCAGAGUCUUCUUUAAUCAUGGAGGGCCAAACAUGUGGGCUAUUACCUCUGAAGAACGGACUAAGCAUGACAAGCAGUUUGAUAACCUCAAACCCUCAGGAGGUUACAUAACAGGUGAUCAAGCACGUACCUUUUUCUUACAGUCAGGCCUGCCGGCUCCUGUUUUAGCUGAAAUAUGGGCUUUAUCAGACCUGAACAAGGAUGGGAAGAUGGAUCAGCAAGAAUUCUCCAUAGCGAUGAAGCUCAUCAAACUGAAGCUACAAGGCCAGCAGCUGCCCGUGGUCCUCCCUCCUAUUAUGAAACAACCUCCUAUGUUCUCUCCAUUAAUUUCUGCUCGUUUUGGAAUGGGAAGCAUGCCCAAUCUGUCCAUUCCUCACUCAUUGCCUCCAGUUGCACCUAUGGCAACCCCCUUACCCUCUGCGACUUCAGGGACCACCCUUCCUCCCUUAAUGAUGCCUGCUCCCCUAGUGCCUUCUGUUAGCACAUCGUCACUACCAAAUGGAACCGCUGGCCUCAUUCAGCCGUUAUCCAUUCCUUAUUCUUCUUCAACAUUGCCUCAUACGUCAUCUUACAGUCUCAUGAUGGGAGGACUCGGCGGUGCUAGUUUACAGAAAGCCCAGUCUCUGAUUGAUUUAGGAUCUAGUAGCUCAACUUCCUCAACUGCUUCACUCUCUGGAAACUCGCCCAAGACUGGGACCUUAGAGUGGGCGGUUCCUCAGCCUUCAAGGUUAAAAUAUCGGCAAAAAUUUAAUAGUCUUGACAAAAGCAUGAGUGGAUACCUCUCAGGUUUUCAAGCUAGAAAUGCCCUUCUUCAGUCAAAUCUUUCUCAAACUCAGCUAGCUACUAUUUGGACCCUUGCUGACAUUGAUGGCGACGGACAGCUGAAAGCUGAAGAGUUCAUCCUUGCGAUGCAUCUCACUGACAUGGCCAAAGCUGGACAGCCCUUGCCACUGACGUUGCCUCCUGAACUUGUCCCUCCAUCUUUCAGAGGAGGAAAGCAAAUUGAUUCCAUUAAUGGAACUCUGCCUUCAUAUCAGAAAAUUCAAGAAGAGGAACCUCAGAAAAAAUUACCAGUUACUUUCGAGGACAAGCGGAAGGCCAACUACGAGCGAGGGAACGUGGAACUGGAGAAGCGGCGCCACGCCCUGAUGGAGCAGCAGCAGAGGGAGGCAGAGCGAAAAGCCCAGAAAGAAAAGGAAGAGUGGGAGCGAAAACAGAGAGAACUACAGGAGCAAGAAUGGAAGAAACAACUUGAAUUAGAAAAACGCUUGGAGAAGCAGAGGGAAUUGGAGAGACAGCGGGAGGAAGAAAGGAGAAAAGAGAUAGAAAGACGAGAGGCAGCAAAACAGGAACUUGAAAGACAACGUCGUUUAGAAUGGGAGAGGAUUCGUCGCCAGGAGCUUCUCAAUCAAAGGAAUAGAGAACAGGAAGAAAUUGUCAGGUUAAACUCUAAAAAGAAGAGUCUUCAUCUCGAGUUGGAAGCACUGAAUGGCAAGCACCAGCAGAUCUCAGGCAGACUUCAAGAUGUCCGACUCCGAAAACAAACUCAAAAGACUGAGCUGGAAGUUCUAGAUAAACAGUGUGACCUGGAAAUUAUGGAAAUCAAGCAACUCCAACAAGAACUUCAGGAUUAUCAAAAUAAACUUAUCUAUUUGGUACCGGAGAAGCAAUUAUUAAAUGAAAGAAUUAAGAACAUGCAGCUUGGUAACACACCUGAUUUAGGGAUUGGUUUGCUUCAUAAAAAAUCAUUGGAAAAGGAAGAAUUAUGCCAAAGACUUAAAGAACAAUUAGAUGCUCUUGAAAAAGAAACUGCAUCUAAGCUAUCUGAAAUGGAUUCAUUUAACAAUCAAUUAAAGUGUGGGAAUAUGGAUGACUCUGUUCUGCAGUGCCUUUUGUCUCUGCUAAGCUGUCUCAACAACCUCUUCCUCUUACUUAAGGAACUGAGAGAAAGCUACAAUACACAGCAGUUAGCCCUUGAACAACUUUAUAAGAUCAAACGUGACAAGUUGAAGGAAAUUGAAAGAAAAAGGUCAGAGCUAAUACAGAAGAAGAAACUAGAAGAUGAGGCUGUAAGGAAAGCAAAGCAAGGAAAAGAAAACUUAUGGAGAGAAAACCUUAGAAAAGAGGAAGAAGAAAAACAAAAGCGACUCCAGGAAGAAAAAACACAAGAAAAAAUUCAAGAAGAGGAACGGAAGGCUGAGGAGAAACCAUGUAAGGGUGAGCCAGCUACUGCUUUGGUGAAUUAUAGAGCAUUGUACCGCUUUGAAGCCAGGAGCCAUGAUGAGAUGAGUUUUAAUUCCGGGGAUAUAAUACAGGUUGAUGAAAAAACCGUAGGAGAACCUGGUUGGCUUUAUGGUAGUUUUCAAGGAAAUUUUGGCUGGUUUCCUUGCAACUACGUAGAAAAAAUGCCAUCAGGUGAAAAAUCUGUGUCUCCUAAGAAGGCCUUACUUCCCCCUACAGUAUCAGUAUCUGCUACCUCAACUUCUUCUGAAUCACUUUCUUCAAAUCAACCAGCAUCAGUGACUGAUUAUCAAAAUGUAUCUUUUACAAACCUAACUGUUAAUACAUCAUGGCAGAAAAAAUCAGCUUUUACUCGUACUGUUUCCCCUGGAUCUAUAUCACCGAUUCAUGGACAGGGACAGGUUGUAGAAAACCUAAAGGCGCAGGCCCUGUGUUCUUGGACUGCAAAGAAGGAUAACCACUUGAACUUUUCAAAACAUGAUAUUAUCACUGUCUUGGAACAGCAAGAAAAUUGGUGGUUUGGAGAGGUGCAUGGAGGAAGAGGGUGGUUUCCAAAAUCUUAUGUCAAAAUACUCCCUGGGAGUGAAGUCAAGCGGGAAGAACCAGAAGCUUUGUAUGCAGCUGUAAACAAGAAACCUACCUCUGCAGCCUACACAGGUGGAGAGGAAUAUAUUGCACUUUAUCCAUAUUCAAGUGUAGAACCUGGAGAUUUGACUUUCACUGAAGGUGAAGAAAUAUUGGUGACCCAGAAAGAUGGAGAAUGGUGGACAGGAAGUAUUGGAGAUAGAACUGGAAUUUUUCCAUCAAAUUAUGUCAAACCAAAAGAUCAAGAGAGUUUUGGGAGUGCUAGCAAAUCUGGAACAUCAAACAAGAAACCUGAGAUUGCUCAAGUAACUUCAGCAUAUGUGGCUUCUGGUUCUGAACAACUUAGCCUUGCACCCGGGCAGUUAAUACUAAUCCUAAAGAAAAAUUCAAGUGGGUGGUGGCAAGGGGAAUUACAGGCCAGAGGAAAAAAGCGACAGAAAGGAUGGUUUCCUGCCAGCCAUGUUAAACUUUUGGGUCCAAGUAGUGAAAGAACUACACCUGCCUUUCAUCCUGUAUGUCAGGUGAUUGCUAUGUAUGACUAUGUAGCAAAUAACGAGGAUGAGCUGAAUUUCUCCAAGGGACAACUUAUCAAUGUUUUGAACAAAGAUGAUCCUGACUGGUGGCAAGGAGAAAUCAACGGGGUGACUGGUCUUUUUCCUUCAAACUAUGUUAAGAUGACAACAGACUCCGAUCCAAGUCAACAGUGGUGUGCUGAUCUCCAAAGCCUGGACACCAUGCAGCCAGUUGAGAGGAAGAGGCAGGGCUAUAUUCACGAGCUGAUUCAGACCGAAGAGCGGUACGUGGACGACCUUCAGCUCGUCGUGGAGGUUUUUCAGAAACGGAUGGUGGAGUCGGGCUUUCUCAGUGAAGGAGAAAUGGCCUUGAUCUUUGUAAACUGGAAAGAACUCAUCAUGUCUAACACAAAGCUACUCAAGGCCUUGCGGGUACGGAAGAAGACCGGGGGAGAGAAGAUGCCCGUGCAGAUGAUUGGGGACAUCCUGGCAGCCGAGCUGUCCCACAUGCAGGCUUAUAUCCGGUUCUGUAGCUGUCAGCUUAAUGGAGCAGCUCUGUUACAGCAGAAGACCGAUGAAGACACGGAUUUCAAGGAAUUUUUAAAGAAGCUGGCAUCUGACCCUCGAUGUAAAGGAAUGCCCCUUUCCAGCUUCCUGCUGAAGCCCAUGCAGAGAAUUACCCGCUACCCUCUGCUCAUCAGAAGUAUUCUGGAGAACACCCUGGAGAGUCAUGUGGACCAUUCCUCCCUAAAGCUGGCUCUUGAGCGGGCAGAGGAGCUUUGUUCCCAAGUUAAUGAAGGAGUUCGGGAAAAAGAAAACUCAGACCGACUCGAGUGGAUCCAGGCACACGUUCAGUGUGAAGGUCUUGCAGAGCAACUUAUUUUCAACUCCCUCACCAACUGCCUGGGGCCCCGGAAGCUUCUGCACAGUGGGAAACUAUACAAGACCAAGAGCAACAAGGAACUACACGGAUUCCUCUUCAAUGACUUUCUGCUUCUUACCUACAUGGUCAAGCAGUUUGCUGUUUCCUCAGGUUCUGAGAAGCUUUUCAGCUCUAAGUCCAAUGCCCAAUUCAAAAUGUAUAAAACGCCCAUUUUCCUGAAUGAAGUCCUGGUGAAACUGCCCACAGACCCUUCCAGCGAUGAGCCUGUCUUCCACAUUUCUCACAUUGACCGGGUCUACACCCUCCGAACAGACAACAUUAACGAGAGGACUGCUUGGGUCCAGAAGAUCAAGGCGGCAUCUGAGCAGUACAUUGACACGGAAAAGAAGAAACGGGAGAAGGCUUAUCAAGCUCGCUCUCAAAAGACUUCAGGCAUUGGGCGUCUGAUGGUGCACGUCAUCGAAGCUACAGAAUUAAAAGCCUGUAAACCGAAUGGAAAGAGCAAUCCAUACUGUGAAAUCAGCAUGGGCUCCCAGAGCUAUACCACCAGAACCCUCCAGGACACACUCAAUCCCAAGUGGAACUUUAACUGCCAGUUCUUUAUUAAGGACCUUUACCAAGAUGUGCUGUGUCUCACCAUGUUUGACAGAGACCAGUUUUCACCAGAUGAUUUCCUGGGUCGCACUGAAGUUCCAGUGGCAAAAAUUCGCACAGAACAGGAAAGCAAAGGCCCCACAACCCGCCGACUCCUGCUGCACGAGGUCCCCACCGGGGAGGUCUGGGUCCGCUUUGACCUGCAGCUUUUUGAGCAAAAAACUCUCCUGUAGGGGCCUCAGGGAUCUGCCCAAAAGGCUGGGGCUAGAGACGGACGGUGCUGCCCCUAGGCUAAAGGAGCAUCACAAGGCUUCAUCCAUCGCAGGCCACGCGUGCCAGGUCCGGCCCUCUAUUUUAUUGCACACUAAAUAGCUAGCAAUCUAUGCAAACAUGAUCUUUCCUAGAAAUAAACCAAACCCACAGCACAGUGCCUUGUAUUAGUGUUAACAUGUUUGGCUGUGUUUAGAUGCCAAGGUUUCCAUUUUCAGGGCUAUAAAAAGUAUUAUGUGGAAAUGAGGCAUCGGAACAGCAGACGUUACCACUUGGUUGAAUGUGUCCAGUGUGGGUGGUUUUGGUGAUGCUGUAACCAUUCCACGCCAUGUGACCUCUGCGGGGUCACAGCCACUCAGGAGGCGAAGGAUCGGGAAGAAACGCUGCAGCCUCAGCGCGGGAACAGCCUGAUACCGAAGUAGGUCUACUCGUGCACUGAAUGAAAACAGAAACUUGAUCAUUUUAUUCCUGACUAGAUUUUAUCAUCUCUGCUCAGACAAUAUAGUUUGAAAUCUAAAGGGGAAAGCUUGAUUUACUUUAAAUACUGUGAACUCUAAUGAUGUGGAAAAUAUUUUUCAACUUUAAUUUUCUGAAGUAUAAAUUAUUUAUGUAAAUUCCUUGUUUUUGCAUAUUUCAUAGGACAUGCAUCUUUAAGCUUUAUCAUUGCCAAUAUGUACAGAAAGAGAAUAAAAAUAUAAGUUUAUGAAUGUAACUUCUUUCAAAGCUUGACUGAUUUACUUUCCACCUGAAAAGCUCUUGAAAGGUUCCCCAGGGCAAGCUUGGAAGCCAGGCACUGAAGAUGACAAAGGUUCCAUCAGCCAAACUCAUGAAAGAGGGACAGCCUGACACCCUGCUGACCUAAACUUUUCUGGUACAUGAGCGAGAAAUAAACUUCUAUUGUGUGUAAA